rnacentral:lncRNA from 1 species
AUAAUUAUAUAAAAUAAAUUAUUAUUAUAUAUAGUAAAAUAAAUAUACUAUUUUAAAUUAAAUUGUUACAUAAAAUAUUAUAUUAUAAAUUACUAUAAGAAAUAAUUUUAUAAAAUAAUUUUAUAUAAAAUAUACUAAUAUAAAUUAAUUAUUUUAUUUUUAAAAAUAUAUUUAGAUAUUGUUCUACACUUUUUAUCCAAACACUAUUAAGAAUAUUCCUUUGAAUAUUCCCGAAUGCAUCCAAAUAUAAAUUUACAAUUGUUCUAUCUUGUACUAGAAUAUCCCUUAUUCUCGGGAACAACAAAAGUUGUUCUCCAACCAAACGCAGCUUAAGACUAUGUUUGGUUGGAGGGAUAU